CAGCGCUAUGAUUUUUGUCCAGGAAAGGCUUGCUGACUUGAACAACCUUUCCCACCCAGCAACAGGAGGCAAACAGAGUCCCUAACUGGCUGUGUGUUUGAUGGUCAAGCUCUCCUUGCUAAAGCGUCAGAGAGCAGAGAUAAUAGGCUGUCGUUUUAUCUGUAUGAAGAGGCUGAGUAAUGAAGACAAAUGUUGGCAGUUCUCAAAUGUGUACUGAAGAUCUGUUCCCAUACAAGAUCUGUUUAGAAUUUAAGUUGAAUUUAAACCAAUUUCUCCAUAAAGCUGCAGUUUAAAAUAAACAGACGUGUUACUUAUGUUUUAAAUGCAACGAUUUCAAGAGGGGUGAUCAUAUUAGGCAGCGUUGCAGCAAAAACAAUAAACUUGUCUUGUGGCA